UAGAAUGAACCGGCGAGUUACGAUCCCGUGCGAGGUUAAGCUGAAGAGGCGGAGCCGCAGCGAAAGCGAGUCUGAAUAGGGCGUUUAGUACGUGGUCGUAGACCCGAAACCAGGUGAUCUACCCAUGUCCAGGGUGAAGUUCAGGUAACACUGAAUGGAGGCCCGAACCCACGCACGUUGAAAAGUGCGGGGAUGAGGUGUGGGUAGCGGAGAAAUUCCAAUCGAACCUGGAGAUAGCUGGUUCUCCCCGAAAUAGCUUUAGGGCUAGCCUUAAGUGUAAGAGUCUUGGAGGUAGAGCACUGAUUGGACUAGGGGUCCUCAUCGGAUUACCGAAUUCAGUCAAACUCCGAAUGCCAAUGACUUAUCCUUAGGAGUCAGACUGCGAGUGAUAAGAUCCGUAGUCAAAAGGGAAACAGCCCAGACCGCCAGCUAAGGUCCCAAAGUGUGUAUUAAGUGGAAAAGGAUGUGGAGUUGCUUAGACAACUAGGAUGUUGGCUUAGAAGCAGCCACCAUUUAAAGAGUGCGUAAUAGCUCACUAGUCGAGUGACUCUGCGCCGAAAAUGUACCGGGGCUAAAUACACCACCGAAGCUGCGGAUUGAUACCAAUGGUAUCAGUGGUAGGGGAGCGUUCUAAGGACAGUGAAGUCAGACCGGAAGGACUGGUGGAGUGCUUAGAAGUGAGAAUGCCGGUAUGAGUAGCGAAAGACGGGUGAGAAUCCCGUCCACCGAAUGCCUAAGGUUUCCUGAGGAAGGCUCGUCCGCUCAGGGUUAGUCAGGACCUAAGCCGAGGCCGACAGGCGUAGGCGAUGGACAACAGGUUGAUAUUCCUGUACCACCUCUUUAUCGUUUGAGCAAUGGAGGGACGCAGAAGGAUAGAAGAAGCGUGCGAUUGGUUGUGCACGUCCAAGCAGUUAGGCUGAUAAGUAGGCAAAUCCGCUUAUCGUGAAGGCUGAGCUGUGAUGGGGAAGCUCCUUAUGGAGCGAAGUCUUUGAUUCCCCGCUGCCAAGAAAAGCUUCUAGCGAGAUAAAAGGUGCCUGUACCGCAAACCGACACAGGUAGGCGAGGAGAGAAUCCUAAGGUGUGCGAGAGAACUCUGGUUAAGGAACUCGGCAAAAUGACCCCGUAACUUCGGGAGAAGGGGUGCUUUCUUAACGGAAAGCCGCAGUGAAUAGGCCCAAGCGACUGUUUAGCAAAAACACAGCUCUCUGCGAAGCCGUAAGGCGAAGUAUAGGGGGUGACACCUGCCCGGUGCUGGAAGGUUAAGGAGAGGGGUUAGCGUAAGCGAAGCUCUGAACUGAAGCC
rnacentral:rRNA from 1 species